UAACUAGUAUAUUUAAAAAAAUGACUUUCUCAACAGCAGUUUUAACAGCAAUGCCAAACAAGCUCAUAAAUUAAAGUACAAGUGUUUUGGGUUUUUAAUAGAGCACUUUAUUAAAUAAAUUGAGUUCUUGCAAAAUCAUGCCACUUUUGGCAUGAAUUCAUUUCAUUUAAAAUGACAGUUUUUUUCACUAAAAAAAUUGAAUUAUAUUAAUUUUACACAUUCCAAACAUGAGAAUUUGUCAAAUAGAAUUCAAUUCAUUUGAAUUCUUUUAUUUUUAGGCUUUCCAAACACACAUAUACAAUACAAAUUAGGAGUUUCUUUUUUUAUAACAUAUGUUGGGAGGGGAGAGUCGAACCUGAGUCUCUCAGGUUCAACAUACAUGCAGCUACUACAGAGCUAUGCCCACCUCUGCAUACAAAUUACAAUAUUAAUGUACAUGAUAUCAAAUAAAAUUACAGCAAUUGAAUUAUUAAUCCCACAAUAGAGCGAUGCAAGUAAUGCAGAAAUGAAAGAUAUGCCUCAGAAAAGCAAGCUUGCCCAUGCAGCAAUAAAUGCAAAGCCACCAAAUGGAGCCAAGGUAGCAUACUUUCUGUCCUCAAGUAAAGCCACAGUGUAACACGUCCCAGAGAAAGCAAGAAUCCCAGUUGUCAAGAGGCCCCCAAAAAUGUGGGGUUUUUUAGUGAGAGGGGCAGCAAGAAGAGCUGCAGUAUGAACCAAAUGGUAUAGAGAUGCUGUUUGCCAUACCUCCUUGUAAGAGGGAUUCUGGGGCUUGAAGACAUGGGCACCAUAUGUGCCCAACCCAAGUGCUGCAACUCCGGAAAUAGCAGCUACUUUGUGCCACGUAUAAGCAUCCAUUCUUUUGCUCUUCGCUGUUUUCUCUGUAUCUCUCAAUUCCAGGAAACAAUCACCAAAGUCAAACGCCUCAAACUUGAUUUAGACGUUAGAGACUGCGGAGAUACGUACGGAUGGGCUUCCCAGAUUGCUCAUUGCUCUGGACUCUGAGCUGAAAAGCUGCUUUCAAGGGGCUAAAUUGGUGUUACAAAAAAAUGGGCCGAUGAUUGUUUUAGCUGAUUUUGAAGGAUUUAUAUUGUUGAAUCCGAAUUUCCAUUGAAGGCCUUAACUAGAGCCUUGG
rnacentral:misc_RNA from 1 species